rnacentral:rRNA from 1 species
UACAGAGGGUGCAAGCGUUGUUCGGAAUUAUUGGGCGUAAAGCGCGUGUAGGCGGCUUUGCAAGUCGGUCGUGAAAUCCCUCGGCUCAACCGAGGAACGUCGAUCGAUACUGCUGUUCUUGAGGAUUGCAGAGGAGACUGGAAUUCCCGGUGUAGCGGUGAAAUGUGUAGAGAUCGGGAGGAACACCGGUGGCGAAGGCGGGUCUCUGGGCAAUUCCUGACGCUGAGGCGCGAAAGCGUGGGGAGCAAACGGG